rnacentral:rRNA from 1 species
UACGUAGGCAGCGAGCGUUGUUCGGAGUUACUGGGCGUAAAGAGUGCGUAGGCGGUUUUCUAAGUUUGGUGUGAAAUCUCCCGGCUUAACUGGGAGGGUGCGCCGAAGACUGGAAGGCUAGAGUAUGGGAGAGGUAAGCGGAAUUCCUGGUGUAGCGGUGAAACGCGUAGAUAUCAGGAGGAACACCUGCGGUGUAGACGGCUUACUGGACCAUAACUGACGCUGAGGCACGAAAGCGUGGGUAGCAAACAGG